rfam:Trichobilharzia regenti genome assembly, scaffold: TRE_scaffold0032656
GUACUGCUGAAGAGUCCUAAACUAGGACGAAACAGGCGUCCAGUAC